GAUGAACGCUGGCGGCGUGCCUAAUACAUGCAAGUCGAGCGAACGGACGAGAAGCUUGCUUUUCUGAUGUUAGCGGCGGACGGGUGAGUAACACGUGGAUAACCUACCUAUAAGACUGGGAUAACUUCGGGAAACCGGAGCUAAUACCGGAUAAUAUUUUGAACCGCAUGGUUCAAAAGUGAAAGACGGUCUUGCUGUCACUUAUAGAUGGAUCCGCGCUGCAUUAGCUAGUUGGUAAGGUAACGGCUUACCAAGGCAACGAUGCAUAGCCGACCUGAGAGGGUGGAUGGCCACCCUGGAACUGGGACACGGUCCCAGCUCCUUAGGGAGGCAGCAGGAGGGAAUCUUCCGGAAUGGGGGGAAGCCUGGCGGAGCAACCGCGCGUGGGUUGUGAAGGUCUUCGGAUCGGAAAAAUGUGUUAUUAGGGGAAAACAUAUGUGUAAGUAACUGUGCACAUCUUGACGGUACCUAAUCAGAAAGCCACGGCUAACUACGUG
rnacentral:rRNA from 1 species